UAGUAGAGGAGCUUCGGCUCCUUGCGGACAAAAUGAACCCUUGCCUUUUCGAGCACCUGUUUGUUUCCUCGGCAGGCAUGCCUGCCAGUGGGGACCCCUUUAAACUCUUGCAACAACCUGUACAAAAUCGUCUGAACAAAAAAAUCUAAAUCA
rnacentral:misc_RNA from 1 species